rnacentral:rRNA from 1 species
AAUAUUUCGACCUCAGAUCAGGUGGGACUCCCCGCCGAAUUUAAGCAUAUUAGUAAGCGGAGGAAAAGAAACUAACGAGGAUUCCCCCAGUAGCUGCGAGCGAAGAGGGAAGAGCCCAGCACUGAAUCCCAAAGGCUUCGCCUUUAGGGAGAUGUGGUGUUUAGGAGUGCCCGAUUAACCCGGGGUCCGUGCACUGCGUUCAAGUCCAUCUUGAACGGGGCCACGGUCCGUAGAGGGUGCCAGGCCCGUAGCUGACCGGUGCCGGCCCCGGGUGGGUUCCUCCUUAGAGUCGGGCUGCUUGAGAGUGCAGCCCUAAGAGGGUGGUAAACUCCAUCUAAGGCUAAAUACAACCACGAGACCGAUAGAGAACAAGUACCGUGAGGGAAAGUUGAAAAGAACUUUGAAGAGAGAGUUCAAGAGUACGUGAAACCGCUCAGGGGUAAACGGAAAAGACCCGAAACACCGAAAAGGGAGAUUCACGUCUCCUCGCAGGUGCUGGCCCCCGGUUCGGGGGGAUGGCCUAGAGCCCCGUCCGGUUCGUCCGUGGCGGUGGGUAGGCCGCCCCCCCGGGGUGUCCGGUCCCGCGGAGGACCGCACUUCUCCCCCAGUAGGACGUCGCGACCCGCUCUGCGACGGUCUAACGGCUGGUAGAACGUCUGGCAGGGGCUGCCCCUCGGGGUGGUUCCCUGCCAGGUCUCCAGACCCGCGGCCGUCGGUCCGGGCGGUAUGAAACGACUGUAGCGCUGGACCGCUCCUCGAGAGCGCCGUCGUCUCCUCGCAAGCCCGGGUCGGGCCGUCGGGACGUGCCCUCACGGGUACGCUCGGCGUCCGCUUGGACUGUUAGCGGGUGAGUACUCCGGCCGCCGUCCAGCACGCUCGUCGGCGGCGCUUCAGAUUCGGGCACUUAUCCGACCCGUCUUGAAACACGGACCAAGGAGUCUAGCGUGUGCGCGAGUCAUUGGGUGCAAAACCUAAAGGCGCAAUGAAAGUAUCAUAGGGCGCUCUGCGCCCUACGGUGGGAGGAUGGGCUUCCGGCCCUCUGGCCGUGGCCCCGCACUCCCGGGGCGUCUCAUUCUCGUUUCGAGUCGAGACGCACCAGGAGCGCACACGCUGGUACCCGAAAGAUGGUGAACUAUGCCUGGCCAGGACGAAGCCAGGGGAAACCCUGGUGGAGGUCCGAAGCGAUUCUGACGUGCAAAUCGAUCGUCUGAGCUGGGUAUAGGGGCGAAAGACCAAUCGAACCAUCUAGUAGCUGGUUCCCUCUGAAGUUUCCCUCAGGAUAGCUGGCUCUCGGGAAGAGACGAGUCUCAUCCGGUAGAGCGAAUGAUUAGAGGUGAUGGGGUCGAAACGACUUCAACCUAUUCUCAAACUCCCAAUAGAUGAGAGCCCCGGCUUGCUUGAAAGUGAAGCCGGUCGACUCGGAUCAGAGACGCCAAGUGGGCCAAUUUUGGUAAGCAGAACUGGCGCUGUGGGAUGAACCAAACGUGGAGUUAAGGCGCCCGAUUCGACGCUCAUCUGAAACCAUGAAAGGCGUUGGUUGCUUAAGACAUCAGGACGGUGGCCAUGGAAGUCGGAAUCCGCUAAGGAGUGUGUAACAACUCACCUGCCGAAGCAACUAGCCCUGAAAAUGGAUGGCGCUGUAGCGUCGUGCCUAUACUCCACCGUCAACGGUAGAGCGGACGGCCCCGCAAGGGGCGUCGUCGUUACACCUUGACGAGUAAGAGGGUCGCGACGGUGUGCGCGGAAGGGUCUGGGCGCGAGCCCACCUGGAGCCGCCGUCGGUGCAGAUCUUGGUGGUAGUAGCAAAUACUCCAGCGAGGCCCUGGAGGACUGAUGUGGAGAAGGGUUUCUUGUGAACAGCUGUUGCACAAGAGUCAGUCGAUCCUAAGCCCUAGGAGAAAUCCGAAGCGAUGGUCUGCCGUUACUGACUCUCUGGUGCGAGCGACGGGAUUCGAGCGCGAUCCCGCGGGUGCUUCUCUCGCAGAGAGAAGGCCCGCGCCGCGCUCUCCCGGAGUGACGACUACUGAUGAGCCGGCACGAUCUGGGCGAAAGGGAAUCCGGUUCCUAUUCCGGAACCUGGCAGCGGAACCGCUCCAAUUCGGGCCCUCACUCGAGGACUCGUCGGGGUGACCCGAAAUGACCCGGAGAAGCCGUAGGGAGGUCCGGGGAGAGUUGUCUCUUCUCUAUAAGCGUUCGAGUUCCCUGGAAGCCUCUAGGAGGGAGAUAGGGUUUGGAACGCGAAGAGCACCGCACUUACGGCGGUGUCCGGAUCUUCCCCUCGGACCUUGAAAAUCCGGGCGAGGGCCACGAGGAACACCGCGCCAGCUCGUACCCAUAUCCGCAGCAGUCUCCAAGGUGAAUAGCCUCUAGUCGAUAGAAUAAUGUAGGUAAGGGAAGUCGGCAAACCCGAUCUGUAACUUCGGGAUAAGGAUUGGCUCUGAGGAUCGUGGUGCGCUGGGCUUGGUCGGGAAGUGGAGCGGUGCCAACGAGCCGGGCCUGG